CGAGGGUGCGAGCGUUAAUCGGAAUUACUGGGCGUAAAGCGAGUGUAGGCGGCUACUUAAGUCGGAUGUGAAAUCCCCGGGCUCAACCUGGGAAUUGCAUUCGAUACUGGGUAGCUAGAGUUUGGUAGAGGUAAGUGGAAUUCCGGGUGUAGCGGUGAAAUGCGUAGAUAUCCGGAGGAACAUCAGUGGCGAAGGCGGCUUACUGGACCAAAACUGACGCUGAGGCUCGAAAGCGUGGGGAGCAAACAGGAUUAGAUACCCGAGUAGUCC
rnacentral:rRNA from 1 species